GGCUAAAUACUCCCAUGAGACCGAUAGCGUACCAGUACCGUGAGGGAAAGGUGAAAAGAACUUCGAUAAGAAGAGUGAAAUAGAUCCUGAACCCAUGCGCCUACAAGCGGUCGGAGCAUUUUUAUGAUGUGACGGCGUGCCUUUUGCAUAAUGAACCUACGAGUUACCUUCACCAGCAAGGUUAAGGGCCAUUAGGCCUGGAUCCGCAGUGAAAGCGAGCCUGAAUAGGGCGUAUUAGUUGGUGGGGGUAGACGCGAAACCAAGUGAUCUACCCUUGGUCAGGUUGAAGGUUGGGUAAAACCAACUGGAGGACCGCACCGGUAAGCGUUGAAAAGCUUUCGGAUGAACUGAGGGUAGGGGUGAAAGGCUAAUCAAACUUGGAGAUAGCUCGUACUCCCCGAAAUGCAUUUAGGUGCAGCCUGUGGAGUUUCUUACGUGAGGUAGAGCGACUGAUUGGAUGCGAGGCUUUCACCGGCUAUCAAGUCCAGACAAACUCCGAAUGCACGUUAAGUAAGAUCCACGGAGUGAGGGCAUGGGUGCUAAGGUCCAUGUCCGAGAGGAGAAGAAUCCAGACCAUCGGCUAAGGUCCCGAAAUAAUAGCUAAGUUGACCAAACGAAGUCAGAGUGCGAAGACAGCUAGGAUGUUGGCUUGGAAGCAGCCAUUCAUUUAAAGAGUGCGUAACAGCUCACUAGUCGAGUGCUUUGGCGUGGAUAAUAAUCGGGCAUAAGCUAUUUACCGAAGCUGUGGGAUGUGUAAACAUCGGUAGGGGAGCAUUCUAGCGGCGCUGAAGGUGAGAGGACAACUCUUGCUGGAGUUUCUAGAAAAGCAAAUGUAGGUAUAAGUAACGAUAAAGGAGGUGAGAAACCUCCUCGCCGAAAGACUAAGGGUUCCUGAUCAACGCUAAUCGGAUCAGGGUUAGUCGGGGCCUAAGGGGAAGCCGAACGGCGCACCCGAUGGAAGAACCGGUUAAUAUUCCGGUACUAAUUAUGUGAGCGAUGUGGAGACGGAGAUGUGACGGUCCUGCCAACUGACGGAAUAGUUGGUUGAAGGGUGUAGGAGUUGAUCUGAGUAGGCA
rnacentral:rRNA from 1 species